CCUACGGGAGGCUGCAGUGGGGAAUAUUGGACAAUGGGCGAAAGCCUGAUCCAGCCAUGCCGCGUGUGUGAAGAAGGCCUUCGGGUUGUAAAGCACUUUCAGUGGGGAAGAAAGCCUUGGGGCUAAUACCCUCGAGGAAGGACAUCACCCACAGAAGAAGCACCGGCUAACUCCGUGCCAGCAGCCGCGGUAAUACGGAGUGUGCGAGCGUUAAUCGGAAUUACUGGGCGUAAAGCGCGCGUAGGCGGUCUGAUAAGCCGGUUGUGAAAGCCCCGGGCUCAACCUGGGAACGGCAUCCGGAACUGUCAGGCUAGAGUGCAGGAGAGGAAGGUAGAAUUCCCGGUGUAGCGGUGAAAUGCGUAGAGAUCGGGAGGAAUACCAGUGGCGAAGGCGGCCUUCUGGACUGACACUGACGCUGAGGUGCGAAAGCGUGGGUAGCAAACAGGAUUAGAUACCCCAGUAGUC
rnacentral:rRNA from 1 species